rnacentral:lncRNA from 1 species
UCGGCCGCGCUCGCGCCGAGUCGUGAUCCGUGCCCAUUUCCGGUCGAUACGCAGUAAUCGGAGUAAUCCUUCCGCGUCGCGCGUUCUUUGGCGUGGCGAGUUCGCGAUCGACGUUGAUCAUCGGGACGUAUUAGUGUCGUAAUUCGUCUCCCAUCGGGCACUUUAUUCGUAUUUCUUAUCGACACGCGAGGAAUCGUCGAGAGUGUCGUCGCGGGACGACCGGUGUGUUGCAUACGCAACGAAGUGUCGCGUCGUCGCCAUUGUUUCGUCAGUGUCGUGAGGUAAGAUCUCGUCGUGUCCUCUUGUCGCGUUCCUCGUGUCCUCUCGUCGGUCGAGAGCGAGUUUGCCCGCGGACGGCAUCGCCGGGGAUGCCGAGCCGAGUCGAAAACAUUAAGUCGACGUAUAAAGUGAUCGCGUCCCUCGCGCCCCUUUCCCCUCUUGUCUUCCGUCUGUGGGAAAUUGACGCCAAAAUCACCGGAGUUUUUCGUCGCGUCGUCGUGUCGCGGUCUGUCCCCGUCUCCGCUCUCGUCGCGUUUCUCGUGUUCUUUCCUCGGAGAGCAAAGUUCCUCGCGGAAGGCAUCGCCGAACCGAGCCGACGUCAUUAAUUGGCGUACAAAGUAGUUGCGGCUCGCGUCGUUAGCAUCUGUAAUCGUGUUGCGAGUGUGUGUGUGCGAACGAGGAAAACCUCAUCGAUUCAUCGGCUGUACUGUUGACCAUAGACAAGACCAGAAAAAAAACAGAUAUAAGUAACGUUAAUAAAAAGAGUUUUGAAGAUAUAGAAAUUUUAUCAGAAAGACGGCAGCGUUCAUCAAAAAUGGCAUAUCUGAACAUUCUAUCCCGUAAGUUAAAUAUUUCUUUCGUGAAGUAAAAAUAUCUAUUAAAGAAUUGUAUAAUAUAUAAUAUUUUUAUUAGCAGCACUAAUGAGGAUUUACCAUCUUUAUUGACAAAUAUGGGCUUUAUCAGAGGUUUUAUGGCAAGACAAAUAAUUUGCCCCCUUCAGGACACAAAUAGAGAGGUAAUGCUGCUACAGCUUUUAAAAUACUUCUCGGUAAGUGAGUUGCUUCUUUAUUAAUAAAUCUUAUUAAUAAAUUGCUCAUGUUCAUAGAGUUCCGUGCUCAAAAAAAGCUAAUUUUGCAAUAGACUGCUUUCGGACUCUAUGAAUUUGAAAAUAUAAUUAGUUUGAAUAAAUGAUAUAACUACUGCUAUCAGUUACUCGAAACAAUUUUUAUAAAUUGUAUUACACUACUUAAUUGCAUUACACUACUGAUUGUUAUUAUAGAUAUCGAUAUUAGCUAUAAUAUUUCCAUUGUAAAAGUAUUUAUAUUUACAUUACUUGCAAAGUUUACUACUACAUCAACCAAUUGCUAUCCAUCAGCUGUUUUGUAAUAAAAAGCACAUAUUUUGAAAGUGUUUAAAAUUGGUGCGUCCGGGGUUUUAAAUAUUUUAAUUAUUUAUUUUUUAUUUAUUACCAUGUAAUGUAAAUAAUUAAUUAUUUAUUAUCAUGCUUUUUCCAAUAACACAAUACUUAUUGAGCAGUUGAGUACACUGAAAAAAAAAA